rnacentral:snRNA from 1 species
AUCGCUUCUCGGCCUUUUGGCUAAGAUAAAGUGUGG